GAAUAUUGGACAAUGGGGGAAACCCUGAUCCAGCCAUGCCGCGUGUGUGAAGAAGGUCUUCGGAUUGUAAAGCACUUUAAGUUGGGAGGAAGGGUAGUAACUUAAUACGUUGCUAUUUUGACGUUACCGACAGAAUACGCACCGGCUAACUCUGUGCCAGCAGCCGCGGUAAUACAGAGGGUGCAAGCGUUAAUCGGAAUUACUGGGCGUAAAGCGCGCGUAGGUGGUUUGUUAAGUUGGAUGUGAAAGCCCCGGGCUCAACCUGGGAACUGCAUCCAAAACUGGCAAGCUAGAGUACAGUAGAGGGUGGUGGAAUUUCCUGUGUAGCGGUGAAAUGCGUAGAUAUAGGAAGGAACACCAGUGGCGAAGGCGACCACCUGGACUGAUACUGACACUGAGGUGCGAAAGCGUGGGGAGCAAACAGG
rnacentral:rRNA from 1 species